rnacentral:rRNA from 1 species
AGAGCGAACGCUGGCGGCAGGCUUAACACAUGCAAGUCGAGCGGGCGUAGCAAUACGUCAGCGGCAGACGGGUGAGUAACGCGUGGGAACGUACCUUUUGGUUCGGAACAACCCAGGGAAACUUGGGCUAAUACCGGAUAAGCCCUUACGGGGAAAGAUUUAUCGCCGAAAGAUCGGCCCGCGUCUGAUUAGCUAGUUGGUGAGGUAAUGGCUCACCAAGGCGACGAUCAGUAGCUGGUCUGAGAGGAUGAUCAGCCACAUUGGGACUGAGACACGGCCCAAACUCCUACGGGAGGCAGCAGUGGGGAAUAUUGGACAAUGGGCGCAAGCCUGAUCCAGCCAUGCCGCGUGAGUGAUGAGGGCCCUAGGGUUGUAAAGCUCUUUUGUGCGGGAAGAUAAUGACGGUACCGCAAGAAUAAGCCCCGGCUAACUUCGUGCCAGCAGCCGC